rnacentral:rRNA from 1 species
GAUGAACGCUGGCGGCGUGCCUAAUACAUGCAAGUCGAGCGAACAGACGAGGAGCUUGCUCCUCUGACGUUAGCGGCGGACGGGUGAGUAACACGUGGAUAACCUACCUAUAAGACUGGGAUAACUUCGGGAAACCGGAGCUAAUACCGGAUAAUAUAUUGAACCGCAUGGUUCAAUAGUGAAAGACGGUUUUGCUGUCACUUAUAGAUGGAUCCGCGCCGCAUUAGCUAGUUGGUAAGGUAACGGCUUACCAAGGCAACGAUGCGUAGCCGACCUGAGAGGGUGAUCGGUCACACUGGAACUGAGACACGGUCCAGACUCUUACGGGAGGCAGCAGUAGGGAAUCUUCCGCAAUGGGCGAAAGCCUGACGGAGCAACGCCGCGUGAGUGAUGAAGGUCUUCGGAUCGUAAAACUCUGUUAUUAGGGAAGAACAAAUGUGUAAGUAACUAUGCACGUCUUGACGGUACCUAAUCAGAAAGCCACGGCUAACUACGUG